CACGAGGUAAACGGGUGGGACCGCAAUGCGGUCGGUCAGACGGAUUCAACCGGGAGGGCGGCGCAGGCGGGGCGUUGCGGAGCCGACGAGGCCCGUGCGCACCGCUCAGCUCUAAAGCGCUGCCUCCGAUCCCGGUGCACUUUCGUCGGGUCGACGGUCACGGCCGGCUCUCCGGUGGUCAGAAGCCGUGUUCGGGGGAAGGUGGACUCGGGCUCCGCGUCCGAAGAGCUUACAGCCCCCUGCACGCGCGGGCCCGUCGGAGGGCCGAGGAAGGGAAUCGCUCGCCGCGCUCCAAUCGCCCGUCGGGUCGCCUGCGUUCGGUUCAACCGGGCUGGACUGGCUUGCCAGUGCUGUCUCCCCGACUGCGGUCGCGGGAGGGCUCGACUGCGGCGAGGAGCGCCGAAGGCCGCGUGACGAAUCGGUCGGAAACCCACCCGACCCGUCUUGAA
rnacentral:rRNA from 1 species